rnacentral:lncRNA from 1 species
CUCGGUUCAGGGUGAGCAAAGUCUUCCUCAUCUUUCUGCUGUGACGAAUGGGAACGUCUGACAUCAGCUCCACACCUCCUGCUACGACGACGUCACACUGUCCAGCUGCUAUCAAACCUAUGCCUGUGGUCAUAGCCUGGUUUGAAGAAAUGCAAGCCAUGGUGACUGUAUGGGCUGGAGUUUUGUCAGAGAAGCCAGCACCCAAAGCAGCCUCUCUGGCAACAUUGCUUGUUUUCACUUCCUGGAUAACUGUGCCAUACACAAUGUAAUCAACAACAUCCCUUGGGACACUGGUUCUGUUCAGCAACCCCUGCAGUGCUGCUCGGGCUAAGUCAUGGGGCAUGAGAUCUGCAUAGGAGGUGCCAGACUGCAAGAACGGAAUACGGACGCCCUCCACCACAACAAUGUUC